rnacentral:rRNA from 1 species
CGAACGCUGGCGGCGUGCCUAAUACAUGCAAGUAGAACGCUGAAGAGAGGAGCUUGCUCUUCUUGGAUGAGUUGCGAACGGGUGAGUAACGCGUAGGUAACCUGCCUUGUAGCGGGGGAUAACUAUUGGAAACGAUAGCUAAUACCGCAUAACAAUGGAUGACACAUGUCAUUUAUUUGAAAGGGGCAAUUGCUCCACUACAAGAUGGACCUGCGUUGUAUUAGCUAGUAGGUGAGGUAAUGGCUCACCUAGGCGACGAUACAUAGCCGACCUGAGAGGGUGAUCGGCCACACUGGGACUGAGACACGGCCCAGACUCCUACGGGAGGCAGCAGUAGGGAAUCUUCGGCAAUGGGGGCAACCCUGACCGAGCAACGCCGCGUGAGUGAAGAAGGUUUUCGGAUCGUAAAGCUCUGUUGUAAGUCAAGAACGGGUGUGAGAGUGGAAAGUUCACACUGUGACGGUAGCUUACCAGCAAGGGACGGCUAACUACGUG